CAGCCGCCGCGGGAAUACAGAGGGUGCGAGCGUUAAUCGGAUUUACUGGGCGUAAAGCGUGCGUAGGCGGCUUUUUAAGUCGGUUGUGAAAUCCCUGAGCUUAACUUAGGAAUUGCAUUCGAUACUGGGAAGCUAGAGUAUGGGAGAGGAUGGUAGAAUUCCAGGUGUAGCGGUGAAAUGCGUAGAGAUCUGGAGGAAUACCGAUGGCGAAGGCAGCCAUCUGGCCUAAUACUGACGCUGAGGUACGAAAGCAUGGGGAGCAAACAGGAUUAGAUCCCCAGUAGUCCCUGUCUCUUAUACC
rnacentral:rRNA from 1 species